rnacentral:misc_RNA from 1 species
AGAGAAAGGUGAGUCAUCGAAUCUUUGAACGCACAUUGCGCCCGGGAGCAUUCUCCCGGGCAUGCCUGUUCGAGCGUCAUUUCAACCCUCGAUUUCCCUUUGGGGAAGUCGGCCGUUGGAGAUCGGCAGCACUGCCGGCUCCCAAAUACAGUGGCGACCCGCCGCGGGGACCCCUGCGUAGUAACUUACACUCGCACCGGAAACCAGACGUGUCACGCCGUAAAACCCCCAACUUUCUGAACGUUGACCUCGGAUCAGGUAGGAAUACCCGCUGAACUUAAGCAUAUCAAUAAGCGGAGG